GGAUCCAGACUUUGAUCAUGGCUCAGAUUGAACGCUGGCGGCAGGCCUAACACAUGCAAGUCGAGCGGUAACAUUUCUAGCUUGCUAGAAGAUGACGAGCGGCGGACGGGUGAGUAACGCGUAGGAAUCUACCCAGUAGUGGGGGACAACAGUUGGAAACGACUGCUAGUACCGCAUACGCCCUACGGGGGAAAGGGGGCUUCGGCUCUCGCUAUUGGAUGAGCCUGCGUGAGAUUAGCUAGUUGGUAAGGUAAUGGCUUACCAAGGCAACGAUCUCUAGCUGGUUUGAGAGGAUGAUCAGCCACACUGGGACUGAGACACGGCCCAGACUCCUACGGGAGGCAGCAGUGGGGAAUAUUGCACAAUGGGCGCAAGCCUGAUGCAGCCAUGCCGCGUGUGUUGAAGAAGGCCUUCGGGUUGUAAAGCACUUUC
rnacentral:rRNA from 1 species